AUUGAACGCUGGCGGCAGGCUUAACACAUGCAAGUCGAGCGGAGACUUCGGUCUUAGCGGCGAACGGGUGUGUAAUACCUAGGAAUCUGCCUAUUAGUGGGGGAUAACGAAUCGAAAGGUUCGCUAAUACCGCAUACGUCCUACGGGAGAAAGGGGGGAUCUUCGGACCUCUCGCUAAUAGAUGAGCCUAGGCCGGAUUAGCUAGUUGGUAGGGUAAAGGCCUACCAAGGCGACGAUCUGUAGCUGGUCUGAGAGGAUGAUCCGCCACACUGGGACUGAGACACGGCCCAGACUCCUACGGGAGGCAGCAGUGGGGAAUUUUGGACAAUGGGCGCAAGCCUGAUCCAGCCAUGCCGCGUGCGGGACGAAGGCCUCGGUUGUAA
rnacentral:rRNA from 1 species